AAUAGGUGACGCCGUUGACUUUUUCUCACAUGUUUAACCGUUCGUCUUAUUAAAAAAAUAUGUAAUUAUAAUUUAUUUUAUUAUGAGUUGUUUUAUAAUUUAUAGUAUUUUAAGUGUGAUUUGUAUCUUAUACAUUUGCAUAAAAUUUUUGAAUAAGACGAAUGGUCAAAUAUGUGAGAAAAAAUUAACGGCGUCAUCUAUU
rnacentral:pre_miRNA from 1 species